rnacentral:rRNA from 1 species
UACGGAGGAUCCAAGCGUUAUCCGGAUUUAUUGGGUUUAAAGGGUGCGUAGGCGGCCUAUUAAGUCAGGGGUGAAAGACGGUAGCUCAACUAUCGCAGUGCCCUUGAUACUGAUGGGCUUGAAUGAACUAGAGGUAGGCGGAAUGUGACAAGUAGCGGUGAAAUGCAUAGAUAUGGCACAGAACACCGAUGGCGAAGGCAGCUCACUAAGCUAUGAUUGACGCUGAGGCUCGAAAGCGGGGGGAUCAAACAGG